GCCGGGAUGGCGGAAUCGGCAGACGCACGGGACUCAAAAUCCCGCGGUAGCAAUACCGUGAGGGUUCGACCCCCUCUCCCGGCACCA
rnacentral:tRNA from 1 species